rnacentral:lncRNA from 1 species
AUGGAAUUUUAGAAAAAUACACGAGUUAUUCAACUUAUUCAAUUAGUAACUAAAACCCAACUCCAGCAUCCCGCGAUAAAAGAGAACCAAGCAAAGUUAACCUUUAGAUCAUUUAGAGACCAGCUUUCAAACAUUUUUCCAAAACCAAACUAUGGUUGAAUGGUGAUAUAGGCGGCAGACGCAUACACACAGUUACACGUUAAAUGAAUUCUAAGAUUAGAUGAGCAUAUAAACAUUCAUCAAUUCACAUGUGAAAUCAUAGAAAGGGCUGAAAGCAAAGCAGUAAAUACAACCUAACACAACCACACAAACUUUGCUAUUAUCUAAAACUUAGUCAAUUUACAAUUAUCUAGGAUUUGCUUGGAAGUAGAAACAUAUGACAAGAAAAGGAAUACACCUGGAAUUAAACCGAAUUCAUCACGACACUAAAAUUGACCAAAAGAGAAUAACCAACAGCUAAACAACAGUCCUCUAGCAGCAACAGAUUCGACUUCAAAUGACUUCCAUUUUUAACCCAAAAAUCCAGAAUUACAACGAAAAGAUGAGUUCUAGAGGUCUCAAAGACAAAAACUCUAAACAACAAUCGACAAGAAAAAUGAAAUAACAGCACCCUCAGUGAUUUUGUGUUGUUCCAGUAUCAGAAAUAUAAGAACGAAAUAAGCUGAAAAUAAUCUCUUCAGUUCCUUUCCGAAAAAUCUCUCCAACUCUCAAAAUUUUCUCCUUAUCCUAAAAAUCGGAACCGGCACUAUUUGAAAACGAAUCCCUGAUGAAUGUGGUGCUUUGGAUUGAACAAAAUCAAUCCAAUGCCUCAUAUACAUCCAGCGAAUCUGCUCCAGAACCUUCCAAUUGUGAGAUAUAUCCAAUUCAAUCGAGUGAGAGGAGAUGGGAAUCUCGCGUCAGAAACCGUUAGAACGGUAAGAGGAGGGAUGGCGAAAGAUUAGGGCUGCGUCGUUUAAGCUCGAGAGAUUAGGGCUUUA